CCCUUAGAGUUUGAUCCUGGCUCAGGAUGAACGCUAGCUACAGGCUUAACACAUGCAAGUCGAGGGGAAACGACAUCGAAAGCUUGCUUUUGAUGGGCGUCGACCGGCGCACGGGUGAGUAACGCGUAUCCAACCUGCCCAUCACUUGGGGAUAACCUUGCGAAAGUAAGACUAAUACCCAAUGAUAUCUCUAGAAGACAUCUGAAGGAGAUUAAAGAUUCAUCGGUGAUGGAUGGGGAUGCGUCUGAUUAGCUUGUUGGCGGGGUAACGGCCCACCAAGGCGACGAUCAGUAGGGGUUCUGAGAGGAAGGUCCCCCACAUUGGAACUGAGACACGGUCCAAACUCCUACGGGAGGCAGCAGUGAGGAAUAUUGGUCAAUGGGCGAGAGCCUGAACCAGCCAAGUAGCGUGCAGGAUGACGGCCCUAUGGGUUGUAAACUGCUUUUAUAAGGGAAUAAAGUGAGCCUCGGAGGC
rnacentral:rRNA from 1 species